rnacentral:lncRNA from 2 species
GGCCUCCGCUGGGAACACACAAAGGCCAAGGCGGAGCAUCGUUUGCCUUGCCCAAAUCCUGCCGCAGAUGCCAAGGUUCAUAACAACAUAGAUCCUGCAAGUCUUGAGACGCUAGUGCAGGAGAAGAAAGACGAGCUGUUCCGUCUGCUACUUCAGAUGGAUCUUCACAAUGGCUCGUGUGAAAAAAGUGCCGAGGAGAACAAAGCCAUACUGAGGCUGCUUCGGCAAUUCCGUGCUGAGACGCGAGAUAAUGGUACCUUGUAAGUAGGCUCUA